ACGACCAAACGUAGAGAAACAUGAGAAGAGCGGGGAGAUAGUUAACGAGAGAGAGAGAGGGGGGGGGAAAGGAGAGAGACAGAGGGAACAUUGUAAUAGUUUCGUAUGACUUAUUUUAUGCGAUAAUAAUCACAUCUAUAAAUAACAUCUAAAAAAACUCAAGUAUUUAUUCUUACGAAAUGAAUUUUGAGAAUCGAUAUUUCCGAUCUAAUAUAACGUAUUGUUCCAUUUACGUAACACCUUGUAAAACACUUCAACUAGUAAAAAAAAAACUUGUUUUUCGAAAGAUUCGUUUCAAAAAGUUCCGUUUUUUAUCGAUAAAACCAAGUUCCACGAUUUAUCAUCGAAGAAAAACGAGCGAACAAGCAGGCGAGUAAGCAAGCGAGUGAGUACGCGUUUCUUAGAGUAAACGACGUUCCUACCGAAGAAGGUAAAUGGACCGUUCACUGUUACUUGAAUGCCGUGCCCAUCGUGUAUCGCCGUUGUUUCCAUGGGAAACGGUCAGGUAGAAUCGUGGAAAAUACGUUAAGCUUCAAAGAGAAAGAGAAAGAAAAAGAGAAAAAGAAAGAGAAAGAGAGUGAGAGAGAGAGAGAGAGAGAGAGAGAGAGAGAAAGAGAGAAAACAGGUAAAGAGACAUAGAGCCAAUAUGCAAGCGUGUAAAUUCUCUGUGUGUGGCUCUGUGUACAUAUUGAUAUGUAUGUGUAUUUCUCUCUUUCUCUCUUUCUCUCUCACUCUCUCUUUUCCUCUCAUCGCACUACCUUCUAACAGGUCAUAAAAGCAGAACCAUAAGCCCAGUCGCAUGACCUAGCACAACAAUGGCUAUAGAAUCGCUUGUGCUACGGCUAUUUGCAUUUCUCUUUAUUCCUCUCUCACUCAGUUGCUCGCAUACUCACUCACUCACUCACUCACUCACUAUCUAUCUCUAUCUCUAUAUCUAUCUAUGAGCUUUCUGUCUCUUUCCAUAUCACGGGAUGUCGUGUAGAACGGUGUAAGUAAUUCAAUUAUACUACUCGUCAUUUUACCUACGACGAACGCAUUAACAAAUUUGCAUUUAUUAACAGGUAUAAAGGGAAGAAUGUAAUUGUUGUUAGACGAAAUAUUACACUAUAUUAUUUUCACACAUGGCUUAUCAUCUUGUCGUGUAAACGAGGAGAACAGGCCCAACCGGAAGUGUGGGAGGGGGGAUGGAUUAUUCAUGUGUAUUUGAUACCACCGACGAGUUCUGAUGGAGAAUAAUAAGAAGAGAACUAAGAGAUGGAGUAGGAGGAAAUUACGAAAGACGUUAUAAACCUGGCCUCUUCUCCCUUAUUUCGAAAGAGAAAAAACUUAAAAUUCUUUUCUCUUGUAAAAUGGAGAUAAAGAGAAAGAAACGGAAAGCGUAGGCGCAUAUACUAAGAUGAUCGAUUGUUAGCGAAUAAGAUUUCGAAGGAAGAGAGAGAAAGAGAGAAAGACUCGUUGAAAGCUUCAUUUUGUUUUCAAUCGAAUUAAAAGAAUUCUUGGCAUGUAAUUAUUUUCAAUUAAUUAUCGAUUUUGGUAUCACUUUUCAAUCGAUUGUAAAUGAAAAACGUUUAGUUUUCACGUUGACACAGAUUUUCUCUUUGUUUCUUUCUUUCUUUCUCUCUCUUUCUCUUUCUCUCUCUUUUUUGAAAUAUAAUUCACAGAAAUCCAAUCCUUUUAUCGAUAUUAUAUUUUCAAAAUCACUUCUAUCAACGAAGUGUACGUUUAGAAGGAACUUCGCAAGGCAGAUCUUUGUAUGAAUCGAGUUGAAUGUAUAUAUACAUGUAUGUGUAUGUACGUGGGUGUAUGUACCUAAAGAAAGAGAGAGAAAGAAAGAAAACAAGAAAUAAUGAGAGAGAGAAAGAACGAGAAAAAUUCGUCAAAGGGGCACGACAAGCGAACAUAUAUGUAUGUACGUAUGUAUGCAUGUACAUAUGUAUGUAUGUAUGUAUGUAAGUAUGGAUAUAGGUAUGUAUGGCUCUAUGUAUGGAUGUAUGUGUGUAUAAAGAAGUGAGUCAUCGAACGAGUGGGCGUAGAAAACCCUCGAUUGGAUCGGCCGGAAGAAAUAAGGAGAGGAGAGUAUUACUGCUCGUAGGUGAUUUCAAAGAGUGCUCUUCUCUCUUCGAGAGACUGAUCCUCAUAGACUCGCGGAAGAUGUCGUUCCAUCGAGAGCUCUAUAAACCGUUCUUUUAGGAGAAAGUUUUCAACUGCACGAAGAGGGAGAGGGAGAAAGAAAGAGAGACAUAAAGAGAUAAAGAGAGAGAGAGAGAGAGAGAGAGAGAGAGAGAGAGAGAACCUUGUGGCUUAGCCAUACGAGACAAGGAGAGAUCUUGCGCCUAAUAAGUUCAAUGAGGUUUCGAGUUGAUCGUGAAGGCUUCGACAGAAUUGAUUUCUCGACACGAUUAGAUAUAGUUGAAGCAAUAUUUCUUCUUCUUCUUUUCCUUUUUUAUUAUUUUCUUUUUUUUUGUCUUCCUUUAAUCCUCAAUAAAUAUAGCAUAAGAGAUACGAAAAAAAAUUUGUUUAAAGUAUCUGCUGUCAAAAUAUAUCUAUUUACAAAUAGUAACAUAAUUCACGAUGUAAAGACGAUUUGUAGAGAAAGAGAGAGAGAGAGAGAGAGAAAGAGAAAGAAACAAGUAUCCUUAUGUAAUUCCGAAUAUUGUGAGAUAAAAAGAAUGGACGGCCCUUAUUGCGAGAAGAGGAAGAGGAGUCAACGAAAGGUAUUAUAUUGGUAUAACUUGUCCCUUCUUUCAAAGCUGACUUUCUAAUUUCGUAAAGUUUCCUUAAUACAACUUCCUCUUUCUUGAAUCGAGCACCUACAUAAGUCUUUUAUACUAAAGGUAUCCAUCUUCCGUGAUUUAUCCGUAAAGAAAAGAAAGCGUAUGUAUGUUAGGAGCUCAGAGUAUUAUCGAGAAAAUGUCAUUUACUUUUAGAUGCCCAUCUCUUCUAUAUUAUCUCACUGACAUCUUAAUAUUAUCGUUAAAAAAUAUAUAAAUAAAAUAUAUAUAAGAAUAUCAUAAUAAUUAUAAAUAUUGUAAAAUAUUGUAAUAGAGUUUAUAUAUUCUUUGAUAAUUUCCCAUUGAUACUUUUAUAAAUGGAAUCAAUACAGUAAAGAAAAGAAAAGGAAAAAAGAAAGAGAGGGAGAAAGAGAGAAAAAAGAAAAAAGAGUUGCAACAAAUUCUAAACUUCUAAUGAAACACCUACCACGGAUAUUCUGUCUUUUUUUUUCUUCUUUUUUUCUUUUUUCUUUUUUCCUUUCUUUCUUUUUUAUCUUCCAGACAGAAAAGAACGAUCGGCCCAUCCUAGUUGCCUGAAUCACCCUGAGUACAUACACGUACACACGUACAUACAUACACGCACACACGCACAUAUACAAACAUAUAAACAUAUAGACACCUAGUGGAUGAAGCCAUUAGUGGCUAGGCGAAAGAUAGAAAAAGGGGAGAAAUCUAGAAAGAAGACUAUAUCUUCCGCCUUAUAUAUUCUUUCUCUUUACCUCCCUUAGUCAUAGUUUCUUCCUACGGCGUUCUCUUUUCUUGGAAUUUCAAGGGGAUGCAUAUAAACGAGCGAAUCGAGGGGAGACGAAAAAAGAACUUUUCUAGACAGAGACGGUAAGAAUGACACGAUCGUAUACCCUUGCUCGAUAGGUGGUUCGUUAUAUCCUAUAAAACUUAAGGGAGAGAAAGAGAGAGAAGAGAUUUCGAUGACUUUAUUGGGUGAUUUCGACUGAGUCGAGGGGUUGAAAAGGCCACGAUAACAGAACAAUUCUGUAUCUGAGUCAUGAAUUGCUGUCGGUGAUAUUGCUACGAUUCUAUAUAUAUAUAUAUAUAUAUAUAUAUAUAUAUAUAUAUAUAUAUAUGUGUGUGUGUGUGUGUGUGUGUCUCGUUGGACAAUUUAUUAAAAGGAUUUCUAAAACUAGGAAAUACCUUUUUAUCUAUCUUUUCCAAUAAACUUUUUUCUUUCUUUUCUUUCAACGAGUUAGUACAAAUACAUAAAUACACCGAAAAUACUAUGUCCGCCAGUCCCAAAAGGUCUCUUUUAUCUUAUUAUUACUGACAUCCUCGUUAAUUAUCCACAUAGAGAGAGAAAGAGAGAGCACUCCUCGGACCUUUUUAAGCAGGAAGUAUGACGCGUUUAAUCGUUCUCUCACAUAAAUUUUCACCGUUAGGAUAAGACAUGUCUCAACAGGGUUAAUAACCGUGUCUUGAUUUAAUAAUAAUAAACGAGAAUAUUCAAAUAAUAUGUUACGUAUAUAAAAAUGUUCAUUUAUCGAACUUUAUUGAAAGAUUAUGAGAAAUUGUUAUCGAAUAGAUGAUUUACGAGACGAUAAGAUAUAGAUAAGUAGUAAAAUACUUACAUGUUGUCAAUCGAAAAAUUCCUAUUAUUCUUUCCGCAUUGAAACUGACGAAAGCAAAAAAAGGAAAAAAAAAAAACAAGAAGAAGGAAAAACAUCCUCCGUUCUUAGUAGAUACACGGAGAUAAAAAAAACAUUAGAAGGAAAUAUUAGUCAUCUUUCUAGCAGCAUCUUUUAUGAAUACAUUAGAAAGAGAGACAUAUGAGAGAGACAGAGAGAGCAUGCAGAUGCAUUAGGUCGUUGUAAAUGGUUACGUGGAAUUGCCAUUAAAAUGGUAUAGUAGGAAAACGUUCCUCGUUAGGAGUUAUAUUUCGUUUUAUAUCCUUGGAAAAAAGAAUCAGAGAAAGAGCGAGAGAGAGAGAGAGAGAGAGAACGAAGGGAAGGAGAAAAAAAUAGAGAAAAUAAGGAGAGAAGAAUUUUGCUUGGUAUUAACGAUUUGUUAUACUUUCGAAUCGAACUAUGCGCUCGUACUUUGGAUAAUUAACGUAACGGAACGUCAGAGAAGGAAAAUAAAGACUAUGCGAGGGAGGAAGAGAGAAAAAAGAGAGAGAGAGAGACAGAGAGGAAGGGGGGAGGGAAACACGAAUGCUUAGCGGUCUACAUGAGUCUCGCCUCGUCAGGCUUGCUCGUAAAAUGCGACUCGUCGUUCGCUAAGUGAAAAUACGUUUCUCUUUCUCUUUCUCUCUUUUCGAAGAGGAGGCUCAACUUUUUCCCGGCGUUCCACGUCGGCGAAUUCGGAGGAUGAAUGAGUUUUCGAGCGCUUGCUGAGAGAAAACAGGAAAGUCAGAGAGAGAGAGAGAGAGAGAGAGAGAGAGAGAGAGAGAGAGAGAGAGAGAGAGAGAGAGAGAGAGAGAGAGAGAGAGAGAGAGAGAGAGAGAGACAAA